UUAAUUGAAACCAAAAAUAGAGGUAUAUCACUGUUAAUGAUAUCAAUGAGAUUAAUCUCCAAUUAAA
rnacentral:tRNA from 1 species